AACCAGGCCUAAAGGCAGGAGGUCCUAGGUUCAAAUCUGACCUCUUUUAGGAUAAUAAUAAAUAUCUGUGGGUUAAAUUGAACAACCAAUGGGUAAAAUAACUCCUAAGUGGUUUGGGGUAAAGUGAGGAAUGGGGAAAUGGACUAGAGGGGGACACCUCCGCCAGAAAAACAGCUGGUUUUACCACAGUGGGUUCUUGAUCUGUGCCAGGUUUGUCUGGGAAAGGAAGAGAGACAAGGAAGGUCUGUAUAACAGGGUUUAAUAACAAAUUGGGAUGGAGAUUGAAGGGAAGUAGGAAAACUAACAUUCAGGUCUAGUGAAAACUACCAGGGGAUAGAGGGAUGAACACAGACUACACUAAACUAAAUCUGAGUGUCUGACUUGACAGGGUAAGGGGAUAUCACGAAGAUGUCCUUGUCUGAUCUCCGGAUGUCACAGCUGGUCACUGGAAAUCAGGAUACACAGCAAGAUAAAAUCAACAGGUGAAGAGAAGGAGAUGAGAUAAUCUGUGUAUGUCCACCACACCAGAUAAAUCUACUUCUCAACCUACAGCUUCACUGGUCUUGAUUGAAGAUGUAAUGUCCACAUCCAAGGAAAACAACUCCAGAGUAUUAAAUCCCCAAAAGACGCAGGCUCACCCUGACAGCUGCUCCAAACCCAACUGUCAGCCUCCAGAAUCUCUGUAUUUUUUGUGCAUUUCUAAAUUUCUAAACUUUGCGUCAUUGCUGGCCUUUAUCUGUCACAUGUGGCUUCCAAAAAACUCCCCUAAAAUUCUCAUUUAAUUUCUCCUGCCAACCUGAAAUAUCUUGAAAUUGCCUUGGAGAAAGCCAUGCCUGCAGAUCCUUGGUGAAAAGUGGGUCAAUGAGAGUUACAUGAAAUUUGUAGAUUGUUCUUCAAAACCAGAAAGAACUUCCAACUAUUCCACUUCUUCUAAUGGAACUGGAAUGUGCUAUCUAAUAAAUUCUUUAUCCCUGAAAGUGUUCAAGCACCGACCAACUGAACAUAUGUUAGGGAUUCCUACAAUUUGUGGAUUCUGAUGACCUCCAAGAUCCUUUUCCAUUCUAAGACUAUUUUGAAGUUGGGAAUGAGCCUCUUUCCUACUAGCAUGGAUAGAACUAGAAGAGGCUACAGAGGCCAUCUAAUUCAGCUCUUCAUUUUACAGAUGAGGAAACUGAAACACAGAGUUGAAGUGAAUUGCCUAUAGUCACACAGGGAGUCAGCAAGGGAGAGUGGAGAUUUGAACUCAGGCCCUCUAAUUCCAGAGCCAAUGUUUUCUCCACUGUACCAAGAGAAAUAAAUUAAUUAUAGAGGACAGAUAGACAUAGAAUAAAUCUAGAACAGAGCUGAAAGUCAAAAAGAAAUAAGAUGUCCAAGACUUCAUAUUUUGCUGUUGCAUUAAAUUUUCAAUGUCAAUUUUAUAGCAA